rnacentral:rRNA from 1 species
AUUGAACGCUGGCGGCAGGCCUAACACAUGCAAGUCGAGCGGCAGCAGGAAAGUAGCUUGCUACUUUUGCCGGCGAGCGGCGGACGGGUGAGUAAUGCCUGGGAAAUUGCCCAGUCGAGGGGGAUACCAGUUGGAAACGACUGCUAAUACCGCCUACGCCCUACGGGGGAAAGCAGGGGACCUUCGGGCCUUGCGCGACUGGAUAUGCCCAGGUAGGAUUAGCUAGUUGGUGAGGUAAUGGCUCACCAAGGCGACGAUCCCUAGCUGGUCUGAGAGGAUGAUCAGCCACACUGGAACUGAGACACGGUCCAGACUCCUACGGGAGGCAGCAGUGGGGAAUAUUGCACAAUGGGGGAAACCCUGAUGCAGCCAUGCCGCGUGUGUGAAGAAGGCCUUCGGGUUGUAAAGCACUUUCAGCGAGGAGGAAAGGUUGAUGCCUAAUACGUAUCAACUGUGACGUUACUCGCAGAAGAAGCACCGGCUAACUCCGUGCCAGCAGCCGCCGUAAUAC